rnacentral:rRNA from 1 species
AUACGGAGGGUGCAAGCGUUGUUCGGAAUCACUGGGCGUAAAGGGCGCGCAGGCGGUUUGGUAAGUCAGAUGUGAAAGCCCACGGCUCAACCGUGGAAGUGCAUUUGAAACUGCCAGACUUGAGUACCAGAGGGGAAAGUGGAAUUCCCGGUGUAGAGGUGAAAUUCGUAGAUAUCGGGAGGGAUACCGGUGGCGAAGGCGACUUUCUGGCUGGAUACUGACGCUGAGGCGCGAAAGCGUGGGUAGCGAACAGGAUUAGAAACCCUAGUAGUCC